rnacentral:rRNA from 1 species
GACGAACGCUGGCGGCGUGCCUAAUACAUGCAAGUUGAGCGCUGAAGGUUGGUACUUGUACCAACUGGAUGAGCAGCGAACGGGUGAGUAACGCGUGGGGAAUCUGCCUUUGAGCGGGGGACAACAUUUGGAAACGAAUGCUAAUACCGCAUAAAAACUUUAAACACAAGUUUUAAGUUUGAAAGAUGCAAUUGCAUCACUCAAAGAUGAUCCCGCGUUGUAUUAGCUAGUUGGUGAGGUAAAGGCUCACCAAGGCGAUGAUACAUAGCCGACCUGAGAGGGUGAGAGGCCACAAUGGGAAUGAGAAAAGGACAAAAGUCCUACGGGAGGCAGCAGUAGGGAAUAUUCGGCAAUGGACGAAAGUCUGAACGCGCAAGGACGAGUGAGUGAAGAAGGUUUUCGGAUAGUAAAACUCUGGUGGUAGAGAAGAACGAUGGUGAGAGUGGAAAGCUCAUAAAGUGACGGUAACUAACCAGAAAGGGACGGCUAACUACGUG